AAAAAACAAACAAACAAA
rnacentral:sRNA from 1 species